UUACAAUGGACAGCACAUUGGAAUGAUUGGCUGCGCAUUCGGAUGGUUUAAAAAAGCAAAUAGUAUUGGCUGACCCAAAACACUCAGCAGAAUCCUCAGCACAUAUUUGACUAGGUUCCUCCCCAUAGCCCACAUACCAUGUUGUUUUCUCAUUACUGCUCCUCUUUUAGGCUAGCUGCUGAUUGGAAUUUUUGUGCAAGAUUCAUCCCUUCAUGGAGCUUUCAGACAAGGCCACUCAGAAGCCGCCUCAGAGUCGCCCCAAGGCUACAGCCUACCUGGAGAAAGCUAUGGUCCAUUCAGUCACAGAGCUGGACAGAUCUUCAAGAAAGAAGCUUGAAACUCCUAAAUCCAGAGAAUGAAUUGUUGCAUAAAGAUGACAGAAAACCCUACACUUCAUCAAGAAGAUCAAGAAUGAACUGAAGUUUGAUUGAAUGUUUAUUGUAAAUAUACACAUUUAUGCCAAAAGGGACUGCCCCUAAUUUGGCUUUCUGUCAAUGAGCCUAGCAAAACAUUGGUUUUUCUUUCUUUCUUUUCUAUUCCUCCCUCACUACUCUAAUUUCCUCUUAGAAAAUUGAAUAUUGCAUAUAUGUAUAGUUAGAAGUGCAUUUAGGACUACAAGAUGAUUAUGUUAAAUGAUCAUCAGGGGGGAUUGUGAACCUUAAAAAUUCCCAGACCCUACUUCAUAAGAUUGGAUUAAGACCAUUUCCCAUUUGGGCAGUGAACUCUACUUAGAUCAGGAAUGUGAGACCUCUACUCCACCCCUACUUAAGUCUGCCCUAGGGGAAGAUAAAGUUAUAAACUCUUUUCUGAACAAUGAAAAGUACUUAAACCCAUACUUAUAAUAAGGGGAAAAGUUCUUAAGCUAAGUACUUAUAAAAGUCAGGCAACUUGUGAAUUUACAAGGAACAAAGAGCUGAGAAACUUACUCAGAGCUUUCCUGGUGUGAAUUACUCAAAAAUCCACACCUUCUUAGGUGUGGACUAAGAAUAGUCCUUUGAAAAAUGUCUACUGUGAUUGGUAGAUGGGAGAACUUAGGGGAGGUGACAUAGGAGAAAAUUCCCUAUAUAAGGAGAUGAGAAAUCUGAGAAAAAAAAAAAACAGUCUCUAAGGAGGCUGUUGAGAGAGGGUCUCUAAGGAGGCUCUGAAGGGAGGCUGACUCUGGCUGGAACUCCCUCUGAGGAGACUGUCCCUCUGAAUCCUUGCUUGAACAGAUCUUAUGGUGAGUGAUUAAGGACUGACUGAUCUCUCUCUUAAGACUCAGGUCUAGACCUUUCGGCUAAGGCCCUUCAUGCUUAUCCCUUUCUUAUUCUCUCUCAUUUUCUUAAUUCCACAUUUGUAUUAAUUAAAAUCGCUAUAAAACCCAGUUGACUUGGGUAUAUUCAUAAUUGGGAAUAUUUCCCUGGCGACCACCUUAUAUAUUGAAUUAAAAACAAGACACUGUAGUGAAAACAUAUUUUCUGCGGUCACAAUUUUCUCAUCCACUCUUAUAUCUACUAUAAUUUAUAUCAUCCAUUAUUUUAAUCACUACAGUUUAUGACCACAACUAUUGUAACUCUUAUACAACACAGCCAGUAGACAUCUAUGUUCUGCAAGGAACAUGAGUAACUGAACAAUGGAGUGAUUUUUCUACCCUCUUCCAUCAGUCAUUACUGGCAAUGUCUGUUCCUUAUACAUAUGCUUCAUUAUCAUUGUACUUCAAGUAUACUUUCUAUGACCCUGCAUAGAUUCUGUGUGUCUUUGUGGGAACGUGUGGCCCAAUUUUAUUGGUAGGUGAGGAGGAAUUCUAUGUAACUUAUGCAAUCUAAACAAAUGUCUUUUCUAAGAGCUAAUUUAGUUUACUUGCUAUUUGUUCACGGGGAAACACACUGUUGGGGGCUCAUGAAUUAAAGUAUUAGAAAUAAUCUUCCAUCCCUAGAACUUGAAUAGAGCAGGAGGGUCUUACAUCUCUCUCUUGUUGUUGGAUUUGGUUUUUUGUCCCCCUUGAUGCCCUUUGUUUUUGACUGGUGUAGAAGGGUAUUCACAGAGGAAUCAAGUUUUGCUGUUUCUAAGCUGCCAUCUUGACUCCGCCUCGACAUCCUUAGAACUUGUUGCUCCCCUGUCAACUCAAUCUGCCCAUAUAAGUGCAAAUAGGGAGAGGGAAUUCAGGGGUAGUGGUACACUCUAUGUCUGUCAUUCUGGGACCAGCCUGUGUAAAUUCAGAAAGAUUCAUCAUCCUGAGGUUGACUAUCAUAUUAUGAUUUGUUUUGGAUAAAGCAACUCAUGAAAUCACUUCCCAAGAUGAUGUUUGCUACUUGUUCUUUCAAAAAAGACAAAGAUCCUGCUGCCUAAGGACCUUGGCUUUUGAGUUUGUCACUUCCAAGGUAGGGAGUAAUAAAAUUAUAGGGUUUUCUAUUCA
rnacentral:lncRNA from 1 species